CUCCCUACAACUCAUGAAUUAAGAAUUAUCACAACAACAAGGUCUACUCGACAUGAAUUCGGCGUUAAUGAGACUUGAUCACAUGAAUCUUUCACAAAAUUCCCACAUAAUCCUAAUACUAAUAUUAUCAACAAAUCAAUGAAUGUUUAUGAUUAUAAGACCAAGGU